AUUGAACGCUGGCGGCAUGCCUUACACAUGCAAGUCGAACGGUAACAGGUCUUCGGAUGCUGACGAGUGGCGAACGGGUGAGUAAUACAUCGGAACGUGCCCGAUCGUGGGGGAUAACGGAGCGAACGCUUUGCUAAUACCGCAUACGAUCUACGGAUGAAAGCAGGGGACCGCAAGGCCUUGCGCGGACGGAGCGGCCGAUGGCAGAUUAGGUAGUUGGUGGAUAAAAGCUUACCAAGCCGACGAUCUGUAGCUGGUCUGAGAGGACGACCAGCCACACUGGGAAUGAGACACGGCCCAGAGUCCUACGGGAGGCAGAAGUGGGGAAUUUUGGACAAUGGGCGAAAGCCUGAUCCAGCCAUGCCGCGUGCAGGAUGAAGGCCUUCGGGUUGUAAGCUGCUUUUGUACGGAACGAAAAGACUCUUUCUAAUAAAGAGGGUCCAUGACGGUACCGUAAGAAUAAGCACCGGCUAACUACGUGCCAGCAGCCGCCGUAA
rnacentral:rRNA from 1 species